GACGAACGCUGGCGGCGUGCCUAAUACAUGCAAGUAGAACGCUGAGGGAGGAGCUUGCUUCUCUGGAUGAGUUGCGAACGGGUGAGUAACGCGUAGGUAACCUGCCUGGUAGCGGGGGAUAACUAUUGGAAACGAUAGCUAAUACCGCAUAAGAGUAGAUGUUGCAUGACAUUUGCUUAAAAGGUGCAAUUGCAUCACUACCAGAUGGACCUGCGUUGUAUUAGCUAGUUGGGGAGGUAACGGCUCACCAAGGCAACGAUACAUAGCCGACCUGAGAGGGUGAGCGGCCACACUGGGACUGAGACACGGCCCAGACUCCUACGGGAGGCAGCAGUAGGGAAUCUUCGGCAAUGGACGGAAAUCUGACCGAGCAACGCCGCGUGAGUGAAGAAGGGUUUCGGAUCGGAAAGCUCUGUUGUAAGAGAAGAACGAGUGUGAGAGUGGAAAGUUCACACUGUGACGGUAGCUUACCAGAAAGGGACGGCUAACUACGUG
rnacentral:rRNA from 1 species